UUCCGGUUGAUCCUGCCGGACCUGACUGCUAUCGGAUUGAUACUAAGCCAUGCGAGUCAUUGUAGUAAUACAAGGCAGACGGCUCAGUAACGCGUAGUCAACCUACCCUGUGGACGGGGAUAACCUCGGGAAACUGAGAAUAAUACCCGAUAGAACAUUAUGCCUGGAAUGGUUUAUGUUUCAAAUAAUUUAUUGCCGUAGGAUGGGACUGCGUCCUAUCAGUUUGUUGGUGAGGUAAUGGCCCACCAAGACUAUUACAGGUACGGGCUCUGAGAGGAGUAGCCCGGAGAUGGGUACUGAGACACGGACCCAGGCCCUAUGGGGCGCAGCAGGCGAGAAAACUUUGCAAUGUGCGAAAGCACGACAAGGUUAAUCCGAGUGGUUUCUGCUAAAGGAACCUUUUGUCAGUCCUAGAAACACUGAUGAAUAAGGGGUGGGCAAGUUCUGGUGUCAGCCGCCGCGGUAAAACCAGCACCUCAAGUGGUCAGGAUGAUUAUUGGGCCUAAAGCACCCGUAGCCUGCUUUGUAAGUUUUCGGUUAAAUCCAUACGCUCAACGUAUGGGCUGCCGGGAAUACUGCAAAGCUAGGGAGUGGGAGAGGUAGACGGUACUCGGUAGGAAGGGGUAAAAUCCUUUGAUCUAUUGAUGACCACCUGUGGCGAAGGCGGUCUACCAGAACACGUCCGACGGUGAGGGAUGAAAGCUGGGGGAGCAAACCGGAUUAGAUACCCGGGUAGUCCCAGCUGUAAACUAUGCAAACUCAGUGAUGCAUUGGCUUGAUGCCAAUGCAGUGCUGCAGGGAAGCCGUUAAGUUUGCCGCCUGGGAAGUACGUACGCAAGUAUGAAACUUAAAGGAAUUGGCGGGGGAGCACCACAAGGGGUGAAGCCUGCGGUUCAAUUGGAGUCAACGCCGGG
rnacentral:rRNA from 1 species